rnacentral:lncRNA from 1 species
UCAACUCUUCAUUUUCGUAUUCAUACUUCCUGUUUCAGUUUACAAUAAUCAGCGUGUCAGUUGUGUACCUGAUAUUGGAAGCAAAAGAAAAGGGAGAUCAGCAGAAAUUUAGUAGCAUACAACAACAGCAACCCCAACAACCAGUAACAACCAGCAACGAGAAACUUAGUGACAGAUUUUAAAAUCAAGACAAAAAUCCAGAAACACCAACAACAAUCAACGGACAUAAGCAAAGGGAAUUUUUUCAGAUUUUGAAAGACUAGUUAGUGUUUUAACCCUUAAUUUUUGAAUCCGUAUAUCAGAAUAUUUGGAUUGUAAUUAGGUGUAUACUAUUCUUCUUUUGAAUUUCCAGAAUGUUUUUCUUUUUAUUUUCUGAAGUCUUAGUAUUUUUCGGAAUUUCCUCUCUCUUAAAAUUUUCUUCUGUAUUAUGUCCGUCUAAAAACUCUCUCCCUAAAAUCUGAUUCAAGACCUCUUAUUUAUUUUCCAUCCCAAACCCUUUAAUCCAUUAAUAAAACCACACUUUCUCCUACCAAACCCAUUAUCUUCCCACUCAUCCCCCACUACAUUAAACAAAUAUAUCAAACCAACCCAUUACAUCUUGUCCCCCAUGCCUACCAUAAACAAUUACCAUAUUCCCCUCCACUACAUUUUGUCUUGUCCCCCAUUUAUAUUAAACAACUAUAUCACCCACACCCCAUUACAUUUUGUCCCUCAUGCUUAACAUAAAGAAUUAAUCAAAAAUGUUCAAUUACCAAACUACCCCUCCGACCUUAUUGCAAUUACCAUUUUACCCCUACGUACUGCGAUUCACCAAACUACCCCCAUCAGCUAUAACUAAUUCACCUAAUCAAUCUUAACCAAAAUAUAGCCAAUAUUAUCAAUUUCUAACAAUGUUCAACAACAAAAAUUCAAACUAAAUGAUGAACAACAAAGAAACAACUAAAAUUAUCUUGAUUGAACAACAUCUUUAACAACAAACAAACCUACUUUCAGAAUCAACAACAAAAACAACAACAAACAAAUAUAUUCAGAUUUCUAAAUUCAAUAAUCAUUUGAACUUAAAAUCUAACAACUUUACAACCAACAAUUCCUAUAUUAAAACUAAACAAAAUCAUGAAGCAAACUGAAGAAAUAAUCAAAAAUGAUAAUCAACAAUCAAGAAGAUCAAACUAUACUAAUUUCGGAUUCAAGAUCAAUCAAACAAAGUAUGAACAUAAAUGAAAAGAUUCAACAAACUCAAAUCACAACUUAAACUAUGAAACUCGAUUCAGACCAAGUAUCAUCAAAAUAAAUAUUGCGUGACUAAACUAACACACUUCUAUAUUAAGCCUAAACAAGAACAAAUGAACACUGCCAACAUACUGAAUGAAAACAAACUAACUUCAUAUGCAAGAAAAUGAUGAACAAUCGACAAGAAAGGAAACCAAACAUCACACAAAAUGAAAUCAUCCGAACCAACUCAAUAUUAGCAAAGAUACUAUACAUUUUACAACUAAUAAUCACGAAUGACAAACCAAUCAAACUCAAAUUCGAUUAAACAAAAAAUCUAAUUUUUACAACCCAGAUUCAACUAAGAAGAAAUUCGAAUUCCUUAAACCAUAACAUUUAAACAGAUUUUAGCGGCUCUUAUCUCACUCGCAUAUAGAUCCUAAAAAUGAGAAAGGGAGAUGAGACGGACCUUAAUAGCCUUUAACACUCCGCAGACCAAUAGAUCGAACAAACGACGGGCUACGACGACGAGGCGGGACUGGGGGUGAAUGAUGACUGUGACGGGGUAGCCAUGGCUUGGGUUGUCGUGGGCUGCUGGGCUGUCAUGGUGGACGUUCAGCCAUGAA